rnacentral:rRNA from 1 species
AACGAACGCUGGCGGCAGGCCUAACACAUGCAAGUCGAACGCACCUUCGGGUGAGUGGCGCACGGGUGAGUAACACGUGGGAAUGUACCCUUUGGUUCGGAAUAACGUCUGGAAACGGACGCUAAUACCGGAUGAGCCCUACGGGGGAAAGAUUUAUCGCCAAAGGAGCAGCCCGCGUCUGAUUAGCUAGUUGGUGGGGUAAAGGCCUACCAAGGCGACGAUCAGUAGCUGGUCUGAGAGGAUGAUCAGCCACACUGGGACUGAGACACGGCCCAGACUCCUACGGGAGGCAGCAGUGGGGAAUAUUGGACAAUGGGCGGAAGCCUGAUCCAGCCAUGCCGCGUGAGUGAUGAAGGCCUUCGGGUUGUAAAGCUCUUUCGCACGCGACGAUGAUGACGGUAGCGUGAGAAGAAGCCCCGGCUAACUUCGUGCCAGCCGCCGCAGUAAGAC